rnacentral:rRNA from 1 species
AACGAACGCUGGCGGCAGGCCUAACACAUGCAAGUCGAGCGAGGACUUCGGUCCUAGCGGCGGACGGGUGAGUAACGCGUGGGAACGUGCCCUUUGCUUCGGAAUAGCCCUGGGAAACUGGGAGUAAUACCGGAUGAGCCCUUUGGGGGAAAGAUUUAUCGGCGAAGGAUCGGCCCGCGUUGGAUUAGGUAGUUGGUGGGGUAAUGGCCUACCAAGCCGACGAUCCAUAGCUGGUUUGAGAGGAUGAUCAGCCACACUGGGACUGAGACACGGCCCAGACUCCUACGGGAGGCAGCAGUAGGGAAUCUUAGACAAUGGGGGAAAGCCUGAGCUAGCCAUGCCGCGUGAGCGAUGAAGGCCUUAGGGUUGUAAAGCUCUUUCAGCUGGGAAGAUAAUGACGGUACCAGCAGAAGAAGCCCCGGCUAACUCCGUG